AUCAAAAUGACAGUGACGUUUGGUGAAAUGAAAUUUAUCAAUUGAUACAAACGCCUCGUUGCGCGCUCGAGCCGUGCGGAGUGAAGAGCGGCAUCGUCGCAUUUUCGGCCAGCUCGCAACGUAGCCUUUCAACGCACACAUUGAACAUACGCUUAGUGUACGACGCUGUCACCGUUCACUCACACAUUGACAAAUUUUAACUAAAAUAUCGUUCUCAGUUAAGCUAUUAUUCAAAUAUUUUUAUUACAAAAACAUAAUUUCCCGCAAACAAAUAUCAAAUUGAAUAUUAAUGGAAGUGGUUUCAUUGUAAAACCAUGCUCCAUUCGCCCAUAAUUGGAUAAAUACAUUAGUAUGAAAAACGAACCACCUUAAGUUGUUU